GACGAACGCUGGCUGCGGGCUUAACACAUGCAAGUCGAACGGAAAGGCCCGGGUAGUGUGGUUUGCCCGACUUCCGAACGCGCGAGGAACACUAAAGUAACCUGCACUUGCCUUUGGGAGAACGUUAAGACACUGGGGCUAGUACUAGAAACGCACUCCUGCGUCUUGGUGGGUGUUGGAAAGAUUCGGCGGUUGGGGAUGGACUCGCGGCUUAUCAGCUGGUUGGUGGGGUAGUGGCUUACCAAGGCUUUGACGGGUAGCCGGCCUGAGAGGGUGACCGGCCACAUUGGGACUGAGAUACGGCCCAGACUCCUACGGGAGGCAGCAGUGGGGAAUAUUGCACAAUGGGCGGAAGCCUGAUGCAGCAACGCCGCGUGCGGGAUGACGGCCUUCGGGUUGUAAACCGCUUUCGCCUGUGACGAAGCGUGAGUGACGGUAAUGGGUAAAGAAGCACCGGCUAACUACGUG
rnacentral:rRNA from 1 species